AGAGUUUGAUCCUGGCUCAGGAUGAACGCUGGCGGCGUGCCUAACACAUGUAAGUCGAACGGAGUUACUUUGACAGAUCCCUUCGGGGUGACGUUGAUUUAACUUAGUGGCGGACGGGUGAGUAACGCGUAGGCAACCUGCCCUCAGCAGAGGGAUAGCCAUUGGAAACGAUGAUUAAAACCUCAUAAUGCUGCAGUAACACAUGUUACAGCAGCCAAAGAUUUAUCGGCUGGGGAUGGGCCUGCGUCUGAUUAACUGGUUGGUGAGGUAACGGCUCACCAAGGUAACGAUCAGUAGCCGACCUGAGAGGGUGAUCGGCCACAUUGGAACUGAGACACGGUCCAAACUUCUACGGAAGGCAGCAGUAAGGAAUCUUGCACAAUGGGGGAAACCCUGAUGCAGCAACGCCGCGUGAACGAUGAAGGCCUUAGGGUUGUAAAGUUCUGAUCUGUGGGAAGAAGAAAGUGACGGUACCACAGGAGAAAGCCCCGGCUAAAUACGUGCCAGCAGCCGCGGUAAUACGUAUGGGGCAAGCGUUAUCCGGAAUUAUUGGGCGUAAAGAGUGCGUAGGUGGUUACCUAAGCGCAAGGUUUAAUCUUGAGGCUCAACCUCAUUCUGCCUUGCGAACUGGGCUACUUGAGUGCUGGAGGGGAAAGCGGAAUUCCCAGUGUAGCGGUGAAAUGCGUAGAUAUUGGGAAGAACACCGGUGGCGAAGGGCGGCUUUCUGGACAGUAACUGACACUGAGGCACGAAAGUGUGGGGAGCAAACAGGAUUAGAUACCCUGGUAGUCCACACUGUAAACGAUGAUUACUAGGUGUGGGAGGUCUGACCCCUUCCGUGCCGCAGUUAACGCAGUAAGUAAUCCACCUGGGGAGUACGACCGCAAGGUUGAAACUCAAAGGAAUUGACGGGGGCCCGCACAAGCAGUGGAGUAUGUGGUUUAAUUCGAAGCAACGCGAAGAACCUUACCAGGGCUUGACAUCCCGUGCAUAGUGUAGAGAUACAUGAAGUCCUUCGGGACACGGAGACAGGUGGUGCAUGGUUGUCGUCAGCUCGUGUCGUGAGAUGUUGGGUUAAGUCCCGCAACGAGCGCAACCCUUAUUGCCAGUUGCCAUCAUUAAGUUGGGCACUCUGGCGAGACUGCCGGUGACAAAUCGGAGGAAGGUGGGGAUGACGUCAAAUCAUCAUGCCCCUUAUGUCCUGGGCUACACACGUACUACAAUGGCUGUUAACAAAGGGAAGCAAAACCGCGAGGUGGAGCAAAUCCCCAAAAACAGUCCCAGUUCAGAUUGCAGGCUGAAACUCGCCUGCAUGAAGUCGGAAUUGCUAGUAAUCGCAGAUCAGCAUAUCGCGGUGAAUACGUUCCCGGGUCUUGCACUCACCGCCCGUCA
rnacentral:rRNA from 1 species